CAGCUAACUGAACCCCCAGCAUCAUCACUUUGGCAAUCAAUUGUAAUUCGGCGAAUCGCGCGAGGAGGAAGCACGAAGAUCGUCCCGAACCGGCUGAAACUUGACAAAAGGCGGCACCGCCAGCGCACGGACGAGCAAUUGCAGCGAUCAAUUGCAGUGAGAAGAGUGAGUGAGUGAAGAGGGGUCAAGAAGAGUGAAGAAGUGAUUGAUCGUGAGCGUGAUAUUCGUGGGAUUAUUAAUUGUUAUUUUUCGAGAGCCAAGCGCCGUACAUCAAGCUACUAAUUCAUCAUGGAAAAGUCGCAUCAAAAAGUUCUUGAAACGGAUCUGAGCAAAGACCAGCUGAAAGUGCUGAAAGAGGCGUUCAAUGCGUUCGACAAGGACAAGACCGGCCACAUUCCGACGGACGUCGUCGGCACCAUCCUGGAGCUGCUCGGCCACAAGCUGUCGGAGGAGGAGCUGGAGGAGGUGAUCGACGAGUACGACGAGGACGAGUCCGGCCAGAUCGAGUUCAACGAGUUCGUGGAGCUGGCCUCGAACUACGUCGAGCCGGAGGAAGACUACGACGCGUUACGGAAGGAGCUGCGCGAGGUCUUCAUGAUGUACGACAAGGACGCCAAGGGUUACAUCCCACUCGAUACAUUCAAGCAGAUCCUCCGGGAGCUGGACGGCGCGGUGCCCGAGGAAGAGCUGGACGACAUCGUGGACGAGAUUGACGCUGACGGUUCCGGAACAGUAGACUUUGAAGAAUUCAUGGAGGUUAUGACAGGUGAAUGAUAAUUUCCCCAACUUCAACAAGCAAUAUCUACCUCCCUUUCGCUCUAUCUCUCGCAAAAAAAAAAAACGCAAGCUUCGCCGCGAGCUUUUUGCAGCAAAAUUCUUUAUUUUUUCCCACCUUCUGCUAACAACAACAACAACAACUUGAGCAACAGCAACAACUGCAAAAAAAGAAGAGCAAAUUUCGAAAGAGAGAUUACGGAAAUUUCGUUUUUCGCUAGCACAUGUGGAUACUAGCCCUCCCGAGGCGCCUCCCGUUUACCUCUCGUCUGACGCUUUUCCAAUUAUUGUUUCUUUACCGGUGUUUUUUCUAGGUUAAGCUGAAAAUUUGCUCUUCUAAACCAAAAAAAAAAAAAAAAAAAAACGCACCGCCGUUAACCGCGAAACUAAGUUAUGUUUUAAACAAUUACAUUUAAAAAAAAUCAAACAGCCACGUUCUAGGGAGGUAUAAAAAGUUUCAACUUGUUCACUUGUUAAGGUAGCGCGCCCAACGGCCCAUGUCACACAGAAGGUAACCCCGGCUGCGUUCAAAGUUGCGGCAGCGAAAUCAUCCUCCAUUUUUAAGUUUUCUUUUUCCUUUCAUCACUAGUUUUAACUGUUACGAAAUAAAGAAUUAAAUAUAAACAAUAAUAAAAAACAAAAGUCAUAA